rnacentral:rRNA from 1 species
AUGAACGCUGGCGGCGUGCCUCAUACAUGCAAGUCGAGCGAACGGACGAGAAGCUUGCUUCUCUGAUGUUAGCGGCGGACGGGGGAGUAACACGUGGAUAACCUACCUAUAAGACUGGGAUAACUUCGGGAAACCGGAGCUAAUACCGGAUGAUAUUUUGAACCGCAUGGUUCAAAAGUGAAAGACGGUCUUGCUGUCACUUAUAGAUGGAUCCGCGCUGCAUUAGCUAGUUGGUAAGGUAACGGCUUACCAAGGCAACGAUGCAUAGCCGACCUGAGAGGGUGAUCGGCCACACUGGAACUGAGACACGGUCCAGACUCCUACGGGAGGCAGCAGUAGGGAAUCUUCCGCAAUGGGCGAAAGCCUGACGGAGCAACGCCGCGUGAGUGAUGAAGGUCUUCGGAUCGUAAAACUCUGUUAUUAGGGAAGAACAUAUGUGUAAGUAACUGUGCACAUCUUGACGGUACCUAAUCAGAAAGCCACGGCUAACUACGUG